AAAUUGAAGAGUUUGAUCAUGGCUCAGAUUGAACGCUGGCGGCAGGCCUAACACAUGCAAGUCGAGCGGAAACGAGUUAUCUGAACCUUCGGGGAACGAUAACGGCGUCGAGCGGCGGACGGGUGAGUAAUGCCUAGGAAAUUGCCCUGAUGUGGGGGAUAACCAUUGGAAACGAUGGCUAAUACCGCAUAAUGCCUACGGGCCAAAGAGGGGGACCUUCGGGCCUCUCGCGUCAGGAUAUGCCUAGGUGGGAUUAGCUAGUUGGUGAGGUAAGGGCUCACCAAGGCGACGAUCCCUAGCUGGUCUGAGAGGAUGAUCAGCCACACUGGAACUGAGACACGGUCCAGACUCCUACGGGAGGCAGCAGUGGGGAAUAUUGCACAAUGGGCGCAAGCCUGAUGCAGCCAUGCCGCGUGUGUGAAGAAGGCCUUCGGGUUGUAAAGCACUUUCAGUCGUGAGGAAGGCGGCGUCGUUAAUAGCGGCGUU
rnacentral:rRNA from 1 species